AACAGGUUUGGGCGAGGCGGACGAGCGAGCUUCACACACAGUGAAAACAAGAGAGAGAGAAGCAGAAGCAGAUUUUCAUUGUUUCCUGCAGUUUUAACACAAUCUGUAGCAGCAGAGAAGAAGGAGGAACAGGACGAGAGCAGCAGAAGACCAAGUUUGUGUUUUUCUUCAAAGAAACGAGAUUCAGGAAGAAGAGCCUGCGCAGCUCUGAACAGAGCUCUCCAGCCCUGACUGCCUCGUGCCACCUGAUUGGACAGCUGACUGAUUGGUUGAUUGAUUAAUCCUCUUUAGCCCCACCCUCCUGUGACGUGCCGUCAUGUCAUCAAACAUCAACGUGUCCCUGGAAAAUCCAUAUGGAGAGGUGACCAUCCCCCGGGCUAAGCUCCGCCCCUCAGAUGACAUUGCCACAGUGAUAGCCAAUCCGAUGGCCCUGAGCAGUAAUGAUGGGAACCCAUAUGCCGUGUCAAGCUCGGCCUCCCCGCCACCUUAUGUGGUGAAGGAAGCCGGACUGGGGGAGGACGAGGAAGGAAGGAGCCGCGCCUGCUGCUACCGCUGCAGAAGGAGGAAAUGAUGUCACAGUGGCAGGAGGACUGUGAUUGGCUCAGAUUUAUUAAUUCCCUGGCCUUUGUAAGUCGAUGUUUCCUUCCUUCCACUAAAGCACCAAGGAAGCAACAAAGAAGGUGAAGAAGAAGAAGGAAGGAACAGAGAAAUGAAGGAAUGAAGAGAAAGAAAAAUAAGAAAUAAACUGCUACAGAAGGAGGGAAGGAGGGAAGGAGGGAAGGAAGGAGGGAAGGAAUAUGAAGGAGGAGGGAAAGUCAUGAAUUGGUGAAAAUUGUUUCCUCAGUGGUUGUCAUUUUGUGUCUCGAACCAGUUCAAAAUUGAAAUUAAUGAGAAUAAAACUCACUCAGAAAAUGUUUUUAAUUAUAAAACUGAAAUCGAUGAAGUUUGAAGAACCACACGAAUCAUUUUAUUAUUCACAAAACUCUGAACUCCAGGCCCAUUUACUUUGAUAAGCUUUAAGUUCAGCUGAAUUCAGUUCAGUUGAAAGCUUCAGGAAUAGUCGGGUAAGAGGGCAACGGUUUUCAUUAAAAUACAUUAAAAAAUAAAUGAAAAUAAACAAUAAUAAUUAUGACCGAACUUUCAGAGACAACAGUUCGAUGUUUUCAUCAAACCGUCAGAUUCUUCUUAUUAUUCGUACUGUUGUCAUGUUCUCUGCUUGUGUUUAGCUUUAAAACUCAUUCUGAGGAAAAGAUAAAUGAUCACAUAUAAAUUUUAUUCUGCAAUCAGAUGAUUUGACACAAAAUGAGCGCCGAGUUUUAUUUCUGUACUUUUGCCAUGACAACGACACCAGAUGAUAAUUAAAGUGUUUCUGCAAACUGUAUAAAGAUUAUAGAUGAAAUUCAGUUAAACAAAUGCAUUUUAAAGGAUUUUUGUAUUUCUUACACAACAUCAAGAGAUAUUAUUUGUCUAAUUAUUAAUACAAUGAUCGUAUGAACACAUUCUAUGAACGAACAACGUGUGAUGGGAGAUGUUUUUGCAUUUUAUAUAUAUUUUAUACUUCAUCCACUUCUUCCAUCUUUGGAGGAAAUGAUCAUGGUUUCAAUAAAGUAUUUCUAUUUUUUCAGAAAAAAUAAUUCUUUAAACAUUUUAGUAUGAAGGAGUUUUUAAAAUCUGAAUAUUUUCAUAGAAGACAUAGAAUAAAAUGUGUAAUCAAAUCAGAAAAUAUGACCAUUUAAACGUUAAUUUACUGUAAAACAUGUGAAGAGUUUGGUGGAGAUGAAUAUUCAGUUAGAGGAGUUGAUGAAAUAAAGAUGAUGAAGACUAA